UUGUCAGCAGUCGCGGUAAGACAGAGGCCUCGAGCGUUAGGCGGAAUCACUGGGCUUAAAGCGUGUGUAGGCGGAUCGUUAAGUACCUUGUGAAAUCCCACGGCUCAACCGUGGAACGGCUGGAUAUACUGGCGGUCUUGGGCCAUUCAGGGGCGACUGGAACAAGCGGUGGAGCGGUGAAAUGCGUAGAUAUCGCUUGGAACGCCGAAGGUGAAAACAGGUCGCUGGGGAUGUGCCGACGCUGAGACACGAAAGCCAGGGGAGCAAACGGGAUUAGAUACCCGAGUAGUCG
rnacentral:rRNA from 1 species